AUUGAACGCUGGCGGCAUGCCUUACACAUGCAAGUCGAACGGCAGCACGGGAGCAAUCCUGGUGGCGAGUGGCGAACGGGUGAGUAAUAUAUCGGAACGUGCCCAGUCGUGGGGAUAACGUAGCGAAAGCUACGCUAAUACCGCAUACGAUCUAUGGAUGAAAGCGGGGGAUCGCAAGACCUCGCGCGAUUGGAGCGGCCGAUAUCAGAUUAGGUAGUUGGUGAGGUAAAGGCUCACCAAGCCGACGAUCUGUAGCUGGUCUGAGAGGACGACCAGCCACACUGGGACUGAGACACGGCCCAGACUCCUACGGGAGGCAGCAGUGGGGAAUUUUUGGACAAUGGGCGCAAGCCUGAUCCAGCAAUGCCGCGUGCAGGAUGAAGGCCUUCGGUUGUAACUAGCUUUUGUACGUAGAAGAAACAACAUUACGUAGUAAUAGUCUUGACGGUA
rnacentral:rRNA from 1 species